GACGAACGCUGGCGGCGUGCCUAAUACAUGCAAGUCGAACGCACUGGGGACGGGUGAGUAGCACGUGGGUAACCUCCCAUCAGAGGGGAUAACACUUGGAAACAGGUGCUAAACCGAUACUGGUGGAUGUACCCGCGGUGCUUUAGCUAGUUGGUGAGGUAACGGCCCACCAAGGCGACGAUGUAUAGCUGGCCUGAGAGGAGGAUCAGCCACACUGGGACUGAGAAACGGCCCAGACUCCGACGGGAGGCAGCAGUAGGGAAUCUUGGGCAAUGGACGAAAGUCUGAGCGAGCAAUGCCGCGUGAGUGAAGAAGGUUUUAGGAUCGUAAAACUCUGUUGUUAGAGAAGCGUUAUCUAACCAGAAAGCAACGGCUAACUACGUGCCAGCCGCCGCGGUAAUAC
rnacentral:rRNA from 1 species